rnacentral:snoRNA from 1 species
UUUCUGUGAUGAAUCAAACCAGCUCACCAUGACUGCCAAUGAGAACACAUGAACGAACACCUNAGAAAC